UACGAAGGGGGCUAGCGUUGUUCGGAAUUACUGGGCGUAAAGCGCACGUAGGCGGACUACUAAGUCAGGGGUGAAAUCCCGGGGCUCAACCCCGGAACUGCCUUUGAUACUGAUAGUCUCGAGUCCGGAAGAGGUGAGUGGAAUUCCAGGUGUAGCGGUGAAAUGCGUAGAUAUCUGGAGGAACACCGGUGGCGAAGGCGGCAUCCUGGACCGGCAUUGACGCUGAGGCGCGAAAGCCAGGGGAGCAAACGGG
rnacentral:rRNA from 1 species